CAUGCAGUCGAACGGUGAAGCCAAGCUUGCUUGGUGGAUCAGUGGCGAACGGGUGAGUAACACGUGAGCAACCUGCCCCGGACUCUGGGAUAAGCGCUGGAAACGGCGUCUAAUACCGGAUAUGAACCACAGCCGCAUGGUUGGUGGUUGGAAAGAUUUUUUGGUUCGGGAUGGGCUCGCGGCCUAUCAGCUUGUUGGUGAGGUAAUGGCUCACCAAGGCGUCGACGGGUAGCCGGCCUGAGAGGGUGACCGGCCACACUGGGACUGAGACACGGCCCAGACUCCUACGGGAGGCAGCAGUGGGGAAUAUUGCACAAUGGGCGGAAGCCUGAUGCAGCAACGCCGCGUGAGGGAUGACGGCCUUCGGGUUGUAAACCUCUUUUAGCAAGGAAGAAGCGAAAGUGACGGUACUUGCAGAAAAAGCGCCGGCUAACUACGUGCCAGCAGCCGCGGUAAUACGUAGGGCGCAAGCGUUAUCCGGAAUUAUUGGGCGUAAAGAGCUCGUAGGCGGUUUGUCGCGUCUGCUGUGAAAACUGGAGGCUCAACCUCCAGCCUGCAGUGGGUACGGGCAGACUAGAGUGCGGUAGGGGAGAUUGGAAUUCCUGGUGUAGCGGUGGAAUGCGCAGAUAUCAGGAGGAACACCGAUGGCGAAGGCAGAUCUCUGGGCCGUAACUGACGCUGAGGAGCGAAAGGGUGGGGAGCAAACAGGCUUAGAUACCCUGGUAGUCCACCCCGUAAACGUUGGGAACUAGUUGUGGGGGCCAUUCCACGGUCUCCGUGACGCAGCUAACGCAUUAAGUUCCCCGCCUGGGGAGUACGGCCGCAAGGCUAAAACUCAAAGGAAUUGACGGGGACCCGCACAAGCGGCGGAGCAUGCGGAUUAAUUCGAUGCAAC
rnacentral:rRNA from 1 species